AUGGACUCACGGCGGUGCGCGGAGCUCCUGGCGACCCUCUCGCCGAAGGGUUUGGCGACGUAUGAGGUUCUGAAGGCCCAGCUCGCUCGUGAUCUGGACCGAAGCUUUGCCGCCUCCAAGGCGAGGCAAGAGAAGUCCGUGGAGACGGCGUUCCCCGACCUCCACACCAAGCUGGACCGGACUAUCGACGACCUCCGCUGGAAGGUGCGCGGCGACGACGGCCGUAGGAGUGCCCCUGCAGCAGCGGCGUCGGCUUCAUCGACGACGAGGUCGGCCGCGUUUCCGCAUGUCCCGCGCGGCAGCGGCGCAACUGUCGCGGACAUCUCCACGCCAGCCGCGGUCUCCGCUCCAUCGGCGUACACGGCAACAUCUACGUGCGCCCCCAUCGUGGCGGCGCUGGACUCUACUUCGCCCCGAGUCCUGGCUGUGACCGCAACCCCCCCGAUGGCACCUGCUGCAAGCAUUGACCUCAACCUCAAGCGCGACAUCGAUCACCUCAUCGGCGGCUCCACGACACCAACAUCGAAUCCUUCGGCUGUCAUCACUGCGGCGACCGCGACACAUCCGCGCAACACCUCGUCCACGGCCAGUUGGGUCGCGGCCUCCAUGGGCGCAGCGACGGCGUCGAUCCCACCCACCAUGUGCUCGACCGAGUGCCCUGGAGAAGAAAACAGUGAAACAAGGACCACGCCCACUUCUACAGCAGCGCCACCGGCAUCAUCCUCGACCAGUGCUAUUCCUGCUACGUGUGAGGUGAGCAUAGAGGUCAAUUCCAUGGCUCUGAUGGAUAUAACCAGUUCGUCUCCAGUCCUCACAAAGGUUACAACCACCCAAGCAUUGUCGCCUACCAAGUGUUCGACAGAAGGCCUGAACGGCGAGACCAGUGUGGCUUGUCUCAAGUAUUUAGUCAGCUCACAUCACCAGUUGCAGCAGGACGUGUGGCUCGCCGAGUUCAAAACUGAAUUGAAGAAGAGCCGUGAGUAA
rnacentral:rRNA from 1 species